GCGGACGGGUGAGUAACACGUGGGUAACCUGCCCAAGAGAUCGGGAUAACACCUGGAAACAGAUGCUAAUACCGGAUAACAACAGAUGAUGCCUAUCAACUGUUUAAAAGAUGGUUCUGCUAUCACUCUUGGAUGGACCUGCGGUGCAUUAGCUAGUUGGUAGGGUAACGGCCUACCAAGGCGAUGAUGCAUAGCCGAGUUGAGAGACUGAUCGGCCACAUUGGGACUGAGACACGGCCCAA
rnacentral:rRNA from 1 species